CCUACGGGUGGCUGCAGUGGGGAAUAUUGGACAAUGGGGGCAACCCUGAUCCAGCCAUGCCGCGUGUGUGAAGAAGGCCCUCGGGUUGUAAAGCACUUUCAGUGAGGAAGAACACCUGGUGGUUAAUACCCAUCAGGAAAGACAUCACUCACAGAAGAAGCACCGGCUAACUCCGUGCCAGCAGCCGCGGUAAUACGGAGGGUGCGAGCGUUAAUCGGAAUUACUGGGCGUAAAGCGCGCGUAGGUGGCUUGAUAAGCCGGUUGUGAAAGCCCCGGGCUCAACCUGGGAACGGCAUCCGGAACUGUCAAGCUAGAGUGCAGGAGAGGAAGGUAGAAUUCCCGGUGUAGCGGUGAAAUGCGUAGAGAUCGGGAGGAAUACCAGUGGCGAAGGCGGCCUUCUGGACUGACACUGACACUGAGGUGCGAAAGCGUGGGUAGCAAACAGGAUUAGAUACCCUGGUAGUC
rnacentral:rRNA from 1 species